UCUUCGCUAGUAUAUCGGUUAGUAUAAUCGCCUCUCAAGAGAGCGCCACUCGCUCGAGUGUUCGCGAUAGAGCAGGGUUCGACUCCCUGGCGGAGAA